AGGAAGGUGACUAAACCUGGAGAGGAAGACACAGAAAAGCAACUGCUCUAUCAUUGGCUGACAAGAUCCUGACAACACCACAAUGAGAGCUGCACUCCUUGCAAGUCUUUACCAGUAGCUGUUGCUUCUGUUCUCUGGAAAUUCUUUAAACCUAGAAUCAGAUACAAAAACUGAACUCUGGGUCCAUAAUCCUCAUUUGUCCUUGAAGUAUGAGGCUGGUGGCAAGAGUAACUGUGCUUCUGACCUUUGGGACUAUAAUUGAUGCUAAGACCACUCAGCCCACCUCCAUGGAUUGCGCUGAAGGAAGAGCUGCAAACCUGCCUUGUAAUCACUCUACCAUCGGUGGAAAUGAGUACAUACAUUGGUAUCGACAGAUUCACUCCCAGGGGCCACAGUAUGUCAUUCAUGGUCUAAAAAACAAGGAGACCAAUGCAAUGGCCUCUCUGAUCAUCACAGAAGACAGAAAGUCCAGCACCUUGAUCCUGCCCCACGCGACGCUGAGAGACACUGCUGUGUACUAUUGCAUCGUGAGAGUCGCACAUUGGGACAGAUGGGGCUGCACCUGUGCAAUAUCUCCCUGGUGGCAAGUGAGGAGGAGGGUAGCAUUCAUCUAGAGCAAAAUGUCGAUAGGAGUCAAAAAGUAACAAGAAAAGAGGAAAAGGAAGGGAAGGAGAGAAGGAAAGUAAAUAAGGGAGAUACGAUGAAGGGUAAAAAGAUAGGAAUAAGAACUAUAUUUGCUGAUGUGGCUAAGAAAUAUGAUAAAGGGGCUAUAAUUUGAACAUAGCAAUAAAGUGAGUCAUAAUUUGAACAUAGCAAUAAAAUGAAGAGGGUUAAGAAUUUUCACGACUCCUCUUCAGGUCAAAAAAAUGUUCAUUUCAGUUUGUUAGAAAAAGUGAACGGAUAAGGAAAAUCAAGAUAAUUCUGCUUGUCCCAAGGCUUUUUUCCUCUGGAUCCAGGGGCAAGUUCAAGCUUCAAAAUGCAUGCUGUUAUAGUUGAUCCAAUUACCAGAAACAAGUUGAUUUUUCUGCAAGAAAAACCUGAAAUGUUCCUUCUUACUAGUGCAGUAACACUAGUUACUAGAGCAUGCAUAUUUGUGAUGAAGGUUUUUCUUUUUGGAAAGAAACAAAAAUCAAAUGAAUAUUAAUUUAUUUUUAUUUUUCUUGAAGUCUUGAAUCUAUAAACGGACCUCGUCAUGUUUUAUUUCCUAAGCAGCACACAAAUCCAUCUCACCACAUAAGACUCAGGUAAAGCAAAGGCGAAAGACCUACCUGCAUUUCCUCAUUCUUCCCUGUCUCACACCACUCUUCUCAAAGAACACUGGCUUUGACACUUUAAGGUAUAUCAUGAUAGCCUGUUUAAUUUCAGUUAUAUAUCUGUGCAUUUAAUUUUAUGCCAUCACACACAAACU